AUUGAACGCUGGCGGCAGGCUUAACACAUGCAAGUCGAGCGGAGAUGAGGUGCUUGCACCUUAUCUUAGCGGCGGACGGGUGAGUAAUGCUUAGGAAUCUGCCUAUUAGUGGGGGACAACAUUCCGAAAGGAAUGCUAAUACCGCAUACGUCCUACGGGAGAAAGCAGGGGAUCUUCGGACCUUGCGCUAAUAGAUGAGCCUAAGUCGGAUUAGCUAGUUGGUGGGGUAAAGGCCUACCAAGGCGACGAUCUGUAGCGGGUCUGAGAGGAUGAUCCGGCACACGGGGACGGGGACACGGCCCAGACUCCGUCGGGAGGCAGCAGUGGGGAAGAUUGGACAAUGGGGUGAACCCUGAUCCAGCCAUGCCGCGUGUGUGAAGAAGGCCUUAUGGUUGUAAAGCACUUUAAGCGAGGAGGAGGCUACUGAGACUAAUACUCUUGGAUAGUGGACGUUACUCGCAGAAUAAGCACCGGCUAACUCUGUGCCAGCCGCCGCCGUAAGAC
rnacentral:rRNA from 1 species